GACGAACGCUGGCGGCGUGCUUAACACAUGCAAGUCGAACGGAAAGGCCCUGCUUUUGUGGGGUGCUCGAGUGGCGAACGGGUGAGUAACACGUGAGUAACCUGCCCUUGACUUUGGGAUAACUUCAGGAAACUGGGGCUAAUACCGGGUAGGAGCUCCUGCUGCAUGGGGGGGGUUGGAAAGUUUCGGCGGUUGGGGAUGGACUCGCGGCUUAUCAGCUGGUUGGUGAGGUAGUGGUUUACCAAGCGUUUGACGGGUAGCCGGCCUGGGAGGGUGGCCGGCCACAUUGGGACUGAGAUACGGCCCAGAAGCCUACGGGAGGCAGUGGUGGAGAAUAUUACACAAUGGGCGGAAGCCUGAUACAGCAACGUCGCGUGCGUGAUGACGGCCUUCGGGUUGUAAACCGCUUUCUCCUGUGACGAAGCGUGAGUGACGGUAAUGGGUAAAGAAGCACCGGCUAACUACGUG
rnacentral:rRNA from 1 species